rnacentral:rRNA from 1 species
UACGUAGGGCGCAAGCGUUAUCCGGAAUUAUUGGGCGUAAUGAGCUCGUAGGCGGUUUGUCGCGUCUGCCGUGAAAGUCCGGGGCUCAACUCCGGAUCUGCGGUGGGUACGGGCAGACUAGAGUGAUGUAGGGGAGACUGGAAUUCCUGGUGUAGCGGUGAAAUGCGCAGAUAUCAGGAGGAACACCGAUGGCGAAGGCAGGUCUCUGGGCAUUAACUGACGCUGAGGAGCGAAAGCGUGGGGAGCGAACAGG